CUGUGUGACCAUGGACAUCUAGUAAUUUAACCUUUUCUAGCCUCAGUGUUAUCUGUCAAAUGCAAACAGGAGUAAUAGCUAACUCAUAUGCUUGCUGUGAGAAUUAUUAAGGUAUGUUAAAAUGCUUCAUAAGCUGUUCUUUAUAAAUAUUUGUUCUUAUUAUUAUCCUCUACUCCUAGCAACAAUCGUAAGUCUCAUUCCAAACUAGUAAUCUAAUUUAAAAUUCAGCUUUCUCCCUAUUAAAAUGCUCUACUGAAAUUUUCUUGCUGGUCAAACUGAAUAAAGAUCACAAUGCAAUUGAACUGAAA
rnacentral:lncRNA from 10 species